rnacentral:rRNA from 1 species
GAUGAACGCUGGCGGCGUGCCUAAUACAUGCAAGUCGAGCGAACACACGAUGAGCUCUCUCCCUCGCCGUUAGCGGCUGACGGGCGAGUAACACGUAGGUAACCUACUUCUAUUUCUGGGAUAACUUCGGGAAACCGGUGCGAAUACCGCAUAAUAUUCCGAACGGCAUGGGUCGGUAGUGAUAGAUGCCUUUGCUAUCACUUAUAGAUGGAUCUGCGUCGUAUUAGCUAGUUGGUAAGGUAACGGCUUACCAAGGCAACGAUACGUAGCCGACCUGAGAGGGUGAUCGGCCACACUGGAACUGAGACACGGUCCAGACUCCUACGGGAGGCAGCAGUAGGGAAUAUUCCACAAUGGGCGAAAGCCUGACCGAGCAACGCCGCGUGGGUGAUGAAGGUCUUCGGGUUGUAAAGCUCUGUUAUUAGGAAAGAACAAACGUGGAAGUAACUGUGCACGUCUUGACGGUACCUAAACAGAAAGCCACGGCUAACUACGUG